rnacentral:rRNA from 1 species
UACGGAGGGGGCUAGCGUUGUUCGGAAUUACUGGGCGUAAAGCGCACGUAGGCGGCUUUGCAAGUCAGAGGUGAAAGCCCGGGGCUCAACCCCGGAAUUGCCUUUGAGACUGCAUCGCUAGAAUUGUGGAGAGGUAAGUGGAAUUCCGAGUGUAGAGGUGAAAUUCGUAGAUAUUCGGAAGAACACCAGUGGCGAAGGCGACUUACUGGACACAUAUUGACGCUGAGGUGCGAAAGCGUGGGGAG